AGUGAACGCUGGCGGUAGGCCUAACACAUGCAAGUCGAACGACAGCACAGUAAGAGCUUGCUCUUACGGGUGGCGAGUGGCGGACGGGUGAGGAAUACAUCGGAAUCUACUUUUUCGUGGGGGAUAACGUAGGGAAACUUACGCUAAUACCGCAUACGACCUACGGGUGAAAGCAGGGGAUCUUCGGACCUUGCGCGAUUGAAUGAGCCGAUGGCGGAUUAGCUAGUUGGCGGGGUAAAGGCCCACCAAGGCGACGAUCCGUAGCUGGUCUGAGAGGAUGAUCAGCCACACUGGAACUGAGACACGGUCCAGACUCCUACGGGAGGCAGCAGUGGGGAAUAUUGGACAAUGGGCGCAAGCCUGACCCAGCCAUACCGCGUGGGUGAAGAAGGUCUUCGGGUUGUAAAGCCCUUUUGUUGGGAAAGAAAAGCAGCAGGUUAAUACCCCGCUGUUCUGACGGUACCCAAAGAAUAAGCACCGGCUAACUUCGUG
rnacentral:rRNA from 1 species